rnacentral:rRNA from 1 species
UACGGGAGGCAGCAGUGGGGAAUAUUGCACAAUGGGCGAAAGCCUGAUGCAGCUAUGCCGCGUGUAUGAAGAAGGCCUUAGGGUUGUAAAGUACUUUCAUCGGGGAGGAAAAACAAAACUAAUAAUUUUAUUUCUUGACGUUACCCGAAAAAGAAGCACCGGCUAACUCCGUGCCAGCAGCCGCGGUAAUACGGAGGGUGCUAGCGUUAAUCAGAAUUACUGGGCGUAAAGGGCACGCAGGCGGUUAAUUAAGUUGGAUGUGAAAUCCCCGGGCUUAACCUGGGAAUGGCAUUCAAGACUGGUUAGCUAGAGUCUUGUAGAGGGGGUAGAAUUCCAUGUGUAGCGGUGAAAUGCGUAGAGAUGUGGAGGAAUACCGGUGGCGAAGGCGGCCCCUGGACAAAGACUGACGCUCAUGUGCGAAAGCGUGGGGAGCAAACAGGGAUUAGAUACC